rnacentral:rRNA from 1 species
UGCAGUCGAGCGGUAGAGAGAAGCUUGCUUCUCUUGAGAGCGGCGGACGGGUGAGUAAUGCCUAGGAAUCUGCCUGGUAGUGGGGGAUAACGUUCGGAAACGGACGCUAAUACCGCAUACGUCCUACGGGAGAAAGCAGGGGACCUUCGGGCCUUGCGCUAUCAGAUGAGCCUAGGUCGGAUUAGCUAGUUGGUGAGGUAAUGGCUCACCAAGGCGACGAUCCGUAACUGGUCUGAGAGGAUGAUCAGUCACACUGGAACUGAGACACGGUCCAGACUCCUACGGGAGGCAGCAGUGGGGAAUAUUGGACAAUGGGCGAAAGCCUGAUCCAGCCAUGCCGCGUGUGUGAAGAAGGUCUUCGGAUUGUAAAGCACUUUAAGUUGGGAGGAAGGGUUGU